rnacentral:rRNA from 1 species
UAAAGGUAUUCCGGUAGACGAUGGGGAUGCGUUCCAUUAGAUAGUAGGCGGGGUAACGGCCCACCUAGUCUUCGAUGGAUAGGGGUUCUGAGAGGAAGGUCCCCCACAUUGGAACUGAGACACGGUCCAAACUCCUACGGGAGGCAGCAGUGAGGAAUAUUGGUCAAUGGGCGCAGGCCUGAACCAGCCAAGUAGCGUGAAGGAUGACUGCCCUAUGGGUUGUAAACUUCUUUUAUAAAGGAAUAAAGUCGGGUAUGUAUACCCGUUUGCAUGUACUUUAUGAAUAAGGAUCGGCUAACUCCGUGCCAGCAGCCGCGGUAAUACGGAGGAUCCGAGCGUUAUCCGGAUUUAUUGGGUUUAAAGGGAGCGUAGAUGGAUGUUUAAGUCAGUUGUGAAAGUUUGCGGCUCAACCGUAAAAUUGCAGUUGAUACUGGAUAUCUUGAGUGCAGUUGAGGCAGGCGGAAUUCGUGGUGUAGCGGUGAAAUGCUUAGAUAUCACGAAGAACUCCGAUUGCGAAGGCAGCCUGCUAAGCUGCAACUGACAUUGAGGCUCGAAAGUGUGGGUAUCAAACAGGAUUAGAUACCCUGGUAGUCCACACGGUAAACGAUGAAUACUCGCUGUUUGCGAUAUAUGCAA